rnacentral:rRNA from 1 species
AUAAUGGGUCAGCGACUUAUAUUCUGUAGCAAGGUUAACCGAAUAGGGGAGCCGAAGGGAAACCGAGUCUUAACUGGGCGUUAAGUUGCAGGGUAUAGACCCGAAACCCGGUGAUCUAGCCAUGGGCAGGUUGAAGGUUGGGUAACACUAACUGGAGGACCGAACCGACUAAUGUUGAAAAAUUAGCGGAUGACUUGUGGCUGGGGGUGAAAGGCCAAUCAAACCGGGAGAUAGCUGGUUCUCCCCGAAAGCUAUUUAGGUAGCGCCUCGUGAAUUCAUCUCCGGGGGUAGAGCACUGUUUCGGCAAGGGGGUCAUCCCGACUUACCAACCCGAUGCAAACUGCGAAUACCGGAGAAUGUUAUCACGGGAGACACACGGCGGGUGCUAACGUCCGUCGUGAAGAGGGAAACAACCCAGACCGCCAGCUAAGGUCCCAAAGUCAUGGUUAAGUGGGAAACGAUGUGGGAAGGCCCAGACAGCCAGGAUGUUGGCUUAGAAGCAGCCAUCAUUUAAAGAAAGCGUAAUAGCUCACUGGUCGAGUCGGCCUGCGCGGAAGAUGUAACGGGGCUAAACCAUGCACCGAAGCUGCGGCAGCGACACUGUGUGUUGUUGGGUAGGGGAGCGUUCUGUAAGCCUGCGAAGGUGUGCUGUGAGGCAUGCUGGAGGUAUCAGAAGUGCGAAUGCUGACAUAAGUAACGAUAAAGCGGGUGAAAAGCCCGCUCGCCGGAAGACCAAGGGUUCCUGUCCAACGUUAAUCGGGGCAGGGUGAGUCGACCCCUAAGGCGAGGCCGAAAGGCGUAGUCGAUGGGAAACAGGUUAAUAUUCCUGUACUUGGUGUUACUGCGAAGGGGGGACGGAGAAGGCUAUGUUGGCCGGGCGACGGUUGUCCCGGUUUAAGCGUGUAGGCUGGUUUUCCAGGCAAAUCCGGAAAAUCAAGGCUGAGGCGUGAUGACGAGGCACUACGGUGCUGAAGCAACAAAUGCCCUGCUUCCAGGAAAAGCCUCUAAGCAUCAGGUAACAUCAAAUCGUACCCCAAACCGACACAGGUGGUCAGGUAGAGAAUACCAAGGCGCUUGAGAGAACUCGGGUGAAGGAACUAGGCAAAAUGGUGCCGUAACUUCGGGAGAAGGCACGCUGAUAUGUAGGUGAAGUCCCUCGCGGAUGGAGCUGAAAUCAGUCGAAGAUACCAGCUGGCUGCAACUGUUUAUUAAAAACACAGCACUGUGCAAACACGAAAGUGGACGUAUACGGUGUGACGCCUGCCCGGUGCCGGAAGGUUAAUUGAUGGGGUCAGCGCAAGCGAAGCUCUUGAUCGAAGCCCCGGUAAACGGCGGCCGUAACUAUAACGGUCCUAAGGUAGCGAAAUUCCUUGUCGGGUAAGUUCCGACCUGCACGAAUGGCGUAAUGAUGGCCAGGCUGUCUCCACCCGAGACUCAGUGAAAUUGAACUCGCUGUGAAGAUGCAGUGUACCCGCGGCAAGACGGAAAGACCCCGUGAACCUUUACUAUAGCUUGACACUGAACAUUGAGCCUUGAUGUGUAGGAUA